CAGUAGCCGCGGUAAUACGAAGGGUGCAAGCGUUAAUCGGAAUUACUGGGCGUAAAGCGUGCGUAGGCGGUGAGUUAAGUCUGUUGUGAAAUCCCCGGGCUCAACCUGGGAAUGGCAAUGGAUACUGGCAAGCUAGAGUGUGUCAGAGGAUGGUGGAAUUCCCGGUGUAGCGGUGAAGUGCGUAGAGAUCGGGAGGAACAUCAGUGGCGAAGGCGGCCAUCUGGGACAACACUGACGCUGAGGCACGAAAGCGUGGGGAGCAAACAGGAUUAGAUACCCCAGUAGUCCCUGUCUCUUAUAC
rnacentral:rRNA from 1 species